rnacentral:rRNA from 1 species
UGCAGUCGAGCGAGAAGCCACCUUCGGGUGGGGGAAAGCGGCAGACGGGUGAGUAACGCGUGGGAACGUACCCUUUGGUUCGGGACAACUCCGGGAAACUGGAGCUAAUACCGGAUAAGCCCUGUGGGGGAAAGAUUUAUCGCCGAAGGAUCGGCCCGCGUCUGAUUAGCUUGUUGGUGGGGUAACGGCCUACCAAGGCUCCGAUCAGUAGCUGGUCUGAGAGGAUGAUCAGCCACACUGGGACUGAGACACGGCCCAGACUCCUACGGGAGGCAGCAGUGGGGAAUAUUGGACAAUGGGCGCAAGCCUGAUCCAGCCAUGCCGCGUGAGUGAUGAAGGCCCUAGGGUUGUAAAGCUCUUUCGGCGGGGACGAUAAUGACGGUACCCGCAGAAGAAGCCCCGGCUAACUUCGUGCCAGCAGCCGCGGUAAUACGAAGGGGGCUAGCGUUGUUCGGAAUUACUGGGCGUAAAGCGCACGUAGGCGGAUCGUUUAGUCGGGGGUGAAAUCCCGAGGCUCAACCUCGGAACUGCCUUCGAUACUGGCGAUCUUGAGACCGAGAGAGGUGAGUGGAACUCCGAGUGUAGAGGUGAAAUUCGUAGAUAUUCGGAAGAACACCAGUGGCGAAGGCGGCUCACUG